GUGUCAGCCGCCGCGGUAAAACGUAGGAGGCGAGCGUUAUCCGGAUUUACUGGGUGUAAAGCGCGUGCAGGCGGUUGGCUAAGUUGGGUGUGAAAGCUCCUGGCUCAACUGGGAGAGGUCGCUCAAGACUGGCCGACUGGAGAGCAGUAAGGGAAGGUGGAAUUCCGGGUGUAGUGGUGAAAUGCGUAGAUAUCCGGAGGAACACCAGUGGCGAAGGCGGCCUUCUGGACUGCUUCUGACGCUCAGACGCGAAAGCUAGGGGAGCAAACGGGAUUAGAAACCCCCGUAGUCC
rnacentral:rRNA from 1 species